UCGGGAAUUUUGCCCAAUGGACGAAAGUCUGAGGCAGCAACUCCGCGUGAGGGACGAAGGCUCUAGGGUCGUAAACCUCUUUUCUCAGGGAAGAUCCAAGACGGUACCUGAGGAAUAAGCGACGGCUAACUACGCGCCAGCAGCCGCGGUAAUACGUAGGUCGCAAGCGUUGUCCGGAUUUACUGGGAGUAAAGAGCGCGCAGGCGGCUGGUCAAGUCCGAUGUGAAAUCUCCCGGCUCAACUGGGAAACUGCAUCGGAAACUGAUCGGCUUGAAGGUGGGAGAGGGUAGUGGAAUUCCCGGUGUAGUGGUGAAAUGCGUAGAUAUCGGGAGGAACACCAGUGGCGAAGGCGACUACCUGGCCCAUUCUUGACGCUGAGGCGCGAAAGCUAGGGGAGCGAACGGG
rnacentral:rRNA from 1 species